UUUGUUGUUUAUAAUAGUCGGAUUACGAAACGUACAAAAAAGAACAUUUCGAUAAACAACAAUCAACAAAUGAAGACGAGGAGGAGGAGGAGUCAACACACGAAGAAGAAAUGACGACGCAAGGAUCGACAUCCUACAAGAGAAAAAGGCCGUUAUUCAUUGAUGACAGUCUGGAAGCUCGGAUUAGGGUUUCAUGAGGCAAGACGAAAGGACGUAUUCUCGGAAUGAGAUCGGGGGACGAUCCAUUGAUGCCAAAAAAAUCCAAGGCCAAAAUAAAUCAUCUAACAAAAGAAGAAAGAGAAAAGAAGAAAAAAGAAAAAUUUGAUACUCGUGUUCAAGAAACCGUUCACGCGGUCGUCAACCAGAGACUCGAGACGGUUGACCAACAAAUGGAGCUCAUGCUAAAAGUACAAACAGACUUGUUAUGCAAAAUAGCUACUCUAGAAGUAUGUUAUUCAAUACUUACUAAAAUUCUUAGUAUAAACAUUAACUUAAUCAAUCAAAAUUAUUUUGUUGUUUUUUAGGAGGGAACACACAAGCACGAGCACGGGCCAAGCGAUCGAUCCAAGUAAGGAUCCUCCGAAUCCUCCUUUAGAUCUUGAUGCUAUAUUCAAAAAAAAAAUAGUUGAAUUGUACUUCAAACAAUUUGUUUAAUUUGUAAGUUGAAAUAAAU
rnacentral:lncRNA from 1 species